rnacentral:lncRNA from 1 species
GGCAAUAGGCCUCAAUUCGCGUUGUCGUGGACUCAAUCAUGGUCUGCUCCAGAAUGCAAGCCGGCGUUGAGCUCAACCUCAGUGGCAGGCAGCUCGAUUCGGGAAACCUAUCUACCUUCCUCGAGCCUGUUUGUUACCUGGCUUCCGUUAUUGGUGAUUAGUUCAGUUUCUCUUGACCGUCCGAUCUUCUUCUCCUUCAAUCGUAGCUCGAUCUGCUGCCUCUCGCCAUCUAGCGCACUGCUA